GUUCGUAACCGGGUCCUGACAGGCCCUUUAAACUUUGACCUGUACUGAUGAAGAGUGAAUCUCUCACAAUCCCUUUAAACUUUGACCUGUACUGAUGAAGAGUGAAUUGGAAAGAGAUGGUCUCCUGACUACCAUGUUCUGUGUCCCUCAGAUCCAGUGCUGAAUGAACAGACCAUCUCCAACACAGACACCAAGGCAAUAAGUGGAUCCAAUGCAACAUGAUGGACAGAGAGGAGGAAAACCUUUGUUACCUCAACUUGUGACCCUUUCGUGGCAGAAACGAUCUGCCUCCAAGUCUACAGCCAUACUGGAGCAAGAAGUCAACUUGCAACACACACAACACUCGUGGAUUAAACCUAAAUCUUUCACAACGUGGGUUCUAGCGUUGCUUGGCCCCAGUCACACACAACGUAUCGGAUCCAAGCUAUGAGGUGUGAUAUUGCCUCCUAGAACUGCCCCCCAGAAAUCCCUGCCCGCUCCCCACCCCACCCAGC